UAGGGAAUNUUCGGCAAUGGACGGAAGUCUGACCGAGCAACGCCGCGUGAGUGAAGAAGGUUUUCGGAUCGUAAAGCUCUGUUGUUAGAGAAGAACGUUGGUAGGAGUGGAAAAUGUAUCAAGUGACGGUAACUAACCAGAAAGGGACGGCUAACUACGUGCCAGCAGCCGCGGUAAUACGUAGGUCCCGAGCGUUGUCCGGAUUUAUUGGGCGUAAAGCGAGCGCAGGCGGUUCUUUAAGUNUGAAGUUAAAGGCAGUGGCUUAACCAUUGUACGCUUUGGAAACUGGAGGACUUGAGUGCAGAAGGGGAGAGUGGAAUUCCAUGUGUAGCGGUGAAAUGCGUAGAUAUAUGGAGGAACCCCGGUGGCGAAAGCGGCUCUCUGGUCUGUAACUGACGCUGAGGCUCGAAAGCGUGGGGAGCAAACAGGAUUAGAUACCCUGGUAGUCCACGCCGUAAACGAUGAGUGCUAGGUGUUAGGCCCUUUCCGGGGCUUAGUGCCGCAGCUAACGCAUUAAUCACUCCGCCUGGGGAGCACGACCGCAAGGUUG
rnacentral:rRNA from 1 species